GAUGAACGCUAGCUACAGGCUUAACACAUGCAAGUCGAGGGGUAACGAGAGGAAAGCUUGCUUUCCUUGUCGACGACCGGCGCACGGGUGAGUAACGCGUAUCCAACCUGCCCCCAACUAGGGAAUAACCUUGCGAAAGUAAGACUAAUACCCUAUAAUUACCUCAGAUGUCAUCUGACGAGGAAUAAAGAUUUAUCGGUUGUGGUUGGGGAUGCGUCUGAUUAGCCUGUUGGAGGGGUAACGGCCCACCAAGGCAACGAUCAGUAGGGGUUCUGGGAGCGAGGUCCACCACAAUGGAACUGAGACCCGGUACGAACUCCUACGGUAGGCAGCAGUGCGGAAUAAUGGUGAAUGGGCGUAAGCCUGAACCAGCCAAGUAGCGUGCAAUAUGACGAGCCUAUGGGUUGUAAACUGCUUUUAUACAGGAAUAAAGUUAGCCACGUGUGGUUAUUUGUAGGUACUGUAUGAAUAAGGACCGGCUAAUGCUGUGCCAGCCGCCGCGGUAA
rnacentral:rRNA from 1 species